AAAGUUGAACCUAUCCACUAGCGUUGCUCUGAUUGGUUGUAGCACGAGCCUAUUGCGUGCAGAGUGAAACUGAAAGACAACCGUUUAUCCCGCCCCUCGGAUUGAGCCCUGCCAAUGGUGAGGUCCCAGACACUCAAGAUCUGGAAGA